GGGGCGGUAGCUCAGUGGUAGAGCGUAGGACUGCAAUGAUGCUUUCAUCCCGAGGUCGCGUGUUCGACCCACGCCCUCCCCU